GGGGGUGAUCGGUUUCGACUUUGGUCGUCAAUUCGGGAGAAGCGAGCCGUGGUCUCCGGAGCCACGUUAAAGAGCCGGAACAAAAAACAAACGCGAAUACUGAUUUCGCGCUGGCUGCUUAAUACGUAGCCCGUCCGUCCGGUCUCAGCCCUGCAGGCCGGUAGCGGGCGUCAUUCAGCGGGGCUUACCCGAGCGGUUCUGCCGAUUGGCUGCCGGGGACACUCAAGGUCGGUCGGGGACCUCCGAAUUGGCCGGGGGCGGCGGAGGUCCCGAGACUUAGCUGCCGGCUGCGCUCGGAGAAGGCCCGAUGAGAAGCCGAAGGACGCGGGUUCGAUUCCCGCCACCUCCAA
rnacentral:tmRNA from 1 species